UGGGGAAUAUUGGACAAUGGGGGGAACCCUGAUCCAGCCAUGCCGCGUGUGUGAAGAAGGCCUUAUGGUUGUAAAGCACUUUAAGCGAGGAGGAGGGUACUGGUAUUAAUACUACCAGCUACUGGACGUUACUCGCAGAAUAAGCACCGGCUAACUCUGUGCCAGCAGCCGCGGUAAUACAGAGGGUGCGAGCGUUAAUCGGAUUUACUGGGCGUAAAGCGUGCGUAGGCGGCUAAUUGAGUCGGAUGUGAAAUCCCCGAGCUUAACUUGGGAAUUGCAUUCGAUACUGGUUAGCUAGAGUGUGGGAGAGGAUGGUAGAGUUCCAGGUGUGGCGGUGAGAUGCGUAGAGAUCUGGAGGAAUACCGAUGGCGAAGGCAGCCAUCUGGCCUAACACUGACGCUGUGGUACGAAAGCGUGGGGGGCAAACAGG
rnacentral:rRNA from 1 species